GAGCGGGGACGACCCCGCCUUUCCCAACAUUUUCGGCCGGGACGACCCGC
rnacentral:ncRNA from 1 species